rnacentral:misc_RNA from 1 species
GAAAUGCGAUACGUAGUGUGAAUUGCAGAAUUCAGUGAAUCAUCGAAUCUUUGAACGCACAUUGCGCCCGCCAGUAUUCUGGCGGGCAUGCCUGUUCGAGCGUCAUUACAACCCUCAGGCCCCCGGGCCUGGCGUUGGGGAUCGGCGGAAGCCCCCUGCGGGCACAACGCCGUCCCCCAAAUACAGUGGCGGUCCCGCCGCAGCUUCCAUUGCGUAGUAGCUAACACCUCGCAACUGGAGAGCGGCGCGGCCACGCCGUAAAACACCCAACUUCUGAAUGUUGACCUCGAAUCAGGUAGGAAUACCCGCUGAACUUAAGC